GACGAACGCUGGCGGCGUGCUUAACACAUGCAAGUCGAACGGAAAGGCCCUGCUUGCUGGGUGCUCGAGUGGCGAACGGGUGAGUAACACGUGGGUGAUCUGCCCCUUACUUUGGGAUAAGCCUGGGAAACUGGGUCUAAUACUGGAUAGGACCAUGCUGUAGGUGGUGUGGUGGAAAGAUUAGUUUCGGUAAGGGAUGAGCUCGCGGCCUAUCAGCUUGUUGGUGGGGUAAUGGCCUACCAAGGCGUCGACGGGUAGCCGGCCUGAGAGGGUGGACGGCCACAUUGGGACUGUGAUACGGCCCAGACUCCUACGGGAGGCAGCAGUGGGGAAUAUUGCACAAUGGGCGCAAGCCUGAUGCAGCGACGCCGCGUGGGGGAUGACGGCCUUCGGGUUGUAAGCUCCUUUCAGCCAUGACGAAGCCCUUGUGGUGACGGUAGUGGUAGAAGAAGCACCGGCUAACUACGUG
rnacentral:rRNA from 1 species